GUUAAAGACCCAUCUUUAACCAAGGUUGACCUCGGAUCAGGUAGGAAUACCCGCUGAACUUAAGCAUAUCAAUAAGCGGAGGAAAAGAAACCAACAGGGAUUGCCCUAGUAACGGCGAGUGAAGCGGCAACAGCUCAAAUUUGAAAUCUGGCUUCGGCCCGAGUUGUAAUUUGUAGAGGAUGCUUUUGGUGAGGUGCCUUCUGAGUUCCCUGGAACGGGACGCCAGAGAGGGUGAGAGCCCCGUAUAGUCGGCCACCGAUCCUUUGUAAAGCUCCUUCGACGAGUCGAGUAGUUUGGGAAUGCUGCUCAAAAUGGGAGGUAUAUCUCUUCUAAAGCUAAAUAUAGGCCAGAGACCGAUAGCGCACAAGUAGAGUGAUCGAAAGAUGAAAAGCACUUUGAAAAGAGGGUUAAAUAGCACGUGAAAUUGUUGAAAGGGAAGCGCUUGUGACCAGACUUGUGCCGGGCUGAUCAUCCAGUGUUCUCACUGGUGCACUCGACCCGGCUCAGGCCAGCGUCGGUUUUCGUGGGGGGAUAAAAGCUUCGGGAACGUGG
rnacentral:rRNA from 1 species